CCUACGGGUGGCAGCAGUGAGGAAUAUUGGACAAUGGGCGCAAGCCUGAUCCAGCCAUGCCGCGUGCAGGAAGACGCAUCUAUGGUGUGUAAACUGCUUUUGUACGGGAAGAAACACUCCUACGUGUAGGAGCUUGACGGUACCGUAAGAAUAAGGAUCGGCUAACUCCGUGCCAGCAGCCGCGGUAAUACGGAGGAUCCAAGCGUUAUCCGGAAUCAUUGGGUUUAAAGGGUCCGUAGGCGGUUUGGUAAGUCAGUGGUGAAAGCCCAUCGCUUAACGAUGGAACGGCCAUUGAUACUGCCAGACUUGAAUUACUAGGAAGUAACUAGAAUAUGUAGUGUAGCGGUGAAAUGCUUAGAUAUUACAUGGAAUACCAAUUGCGAAGGCAGGUUACUACUAGUGGAUUGACGCUGAUGGACGAAAGCGUGGGGAGCGAAC
rnacentral:rRNA from 1 species